rnacentral:rRNA from 1 species
GAUGAACGCCGGCGGUGUGCCUAAUACAUGCAAGUCGAACGCGUUGGCCCAAUUGAUUGAUGGUGCUUGCACCUGAUUGAUUUUGGUUGCCAGCGAGUGGCGGACGGGUGAGUAACACGUAGGUAACCUGCCCAGAAGCGGGGGACAACAUUUGGAAACAGAUGCUAAUACCGCAUAACAGCGUUGUUCGCAUGAACAACGCUUAAAAGAUGGCUUCUCGCUAUCACUUCUGGAUGGACCUGCGGUGCAUUAGCUUGUUGGUGGGGUAACGGCCUACCAAGGCGAUGAUGCAUAGCCGAGUUGAGAGACUGAUCGGCCACAAUGGGACUGAGACACGGCCCAUACUCCUACGGGAGGCAGCAGUAGGGAAUCUUCCACAAUGGGCGCAAGCCUGAUGGAGCAACACCGCGUGAGUGAAGAAGGGUUUCGGCUCGUAAAGCUCUGUUGUUAAAGAAGAACACGUAUGAGAGUAACUGUUCAUACGUUGACGGUAUUUAACCAGAAAGUCACGGCUAACUACGUGCCAGCAGCCGCGGUAAUACGUAGGUGGCAAGCGUUAUCCGGAUUUAUUGGGCGUAAAGAGAGUGCAGGCGGUUUUCUAAGUCUGAUGUGAAAGCCUUCGGCUUAACCGGAGAAGUGCAUCGGAAACUGGAUAACUUGAGUGCAGAAGAGGGUAGUGGAACUCCAUGUGUAGCGGUGGAAUGCGUAGAUAUAUGGAAGAACACCAGUGGCGAAGGCGGCUACCUGGUCUGCAACUGACGCUGAGACUCGAAAGCAUGGGUAGCGAACAGG